GAUGAACGCUGGCGGCGUGCUUAACACAUGCAAGUCGAGCGGAAAGGCCACUUCGGUGGUACUCGAGCGGCGAACGGGUGAGUAACACGUGAGUAAUCUGCCCUUGGCUUUGGGAUAGCCACCGGAAACGGUGAUUAAUACCGGAUAUGACCACUUCUCGCAUGGGAUGGUGGUGGAAAGUUUUUCGGCCAGGGAUGUGCUCGCGGCCUAUCAGCUUGAUGGUGAGGUAAUGGCUCACCAUGGCUUCGACGGGUAGCCGGCCUGAGAGGGUGACCGGUCACACUGGGACUGAGACACGGCCCAGACUCCUACGGGAGGCAGCAGUGGGGAAUAUUGGACAAUGGGCGGAAGCCUAAUCCAGCAACGCCGCGUGAGGGAUGACGGCCUUCGGGUUGUAAACCUCUUUCGCCUAUGACGAAGCGCAAGUGACGGUAGGUACAGAAGAAGCACCGGCCAACUACGUGCCAGCAGCCGCCGCCGUAA
rnacentral:rRNA from 1 species